UUUGUGUUGAUACAGUUGAUUCUGAAGAAACUGAAAGAGAAAAAAGUGAAACAGAAGAAAGUGAAAGAAGCAAACAGUUGUGUUUGAGGUGCCUCAAAAGAAUUAGGAGGUGAAGCAAGCGAUCUAGUGAAGAAGGAAUAAGUGAGUAUCCAUUUUCUCCAUCAUGACUUGCUCAACCUCGUUUCAUAAUUUUUUUUGUAAUUUCCAUAUAUAAUCUUUGUUUGAACUUUAGUUGAUAGGAUUAUUAUGUCUAGGAUUGAAGAAAAUGCAUGUUUGGAUACCAAUUUGUUUCACAAUUGAUAUGAUUCUGACAAAAAUUCAGAUAGCAUUGUUGAAUCCAAUCCCAGCAAAAAGGGAAGGAAAGAAUAAUAAGAAUAAAAACAAGCCAAAGAAAGGGAAAGAGGGUAAGACAAAUCGGUAGCCAGCUUUUUCCAUUUCCGCUUGGUCGAUGAUUUAGUAUUUGAACGCAUCUCGAAAUCAGUUGAGUGUCUCAACUGAUUGUCGAGUCGAGCUUGAGCUCAGCUUAUACUUCAAUCAAUUGGCUUACAAGGCUUAUUUUUAGCUAAGUUGAAUCCAAGCUUGAGCUUAGAUUGGCCUACUGGGGUAACUGUAAAGCUCCUAUUGAGCCAUUUUGAGUUUUGUUAAACAUUUUCUAAUAGAAUCAAAUAAAUUUCAAGAUGACAUGUGUCUAUUGUUCUGUUUUUAUGAUUUUUUUCUUCAAAAGCUAUUAAUUUUAUUUCAUUAUAUCCAACACUCCAGAGUCCAGCUUUAUUGCAGGUUGUUUAUUGUUUUAACUCCAUAGAUUAAUCAUUGGUUGCAGUGAGUAUGAUUCUAAAGCCAUGGCAAAGAUAAGGGAGCAUUUGAAGAGCAUGGAGGCGAGGCGGCUUCAACUAGAAGCGCUAACGAGCUUGCU
rnacentral:lncRNA from 1 species